CCUACGGGAGGCAGCAGUGGGGAAUAUUGCACAAUGGGGGAAACCCUGAUGCAGCGACGCCGCGUGAGUGAAGACGUAUUUCGGUAUGUAAAGCUCUAUCAGCAGGGGAGAAAAUGACGGUACCUGUCUAAGAAGCCACGGCUAAAUACGUGCCAGCAGCCGCGGUAAUACGUAGGGGGCAAGCGUUAUCCGGAUUUACUGGGUGUAAAGGGAGCGUAGACGGGAGCGUAAGUCUGAAGUGAAAUCCCAUGGCUUAACCAUGGAACUGCUUUGGAAACUGUGCAUCUGGAGUGCAGGAGAGGUAAGCGGAAUUCGUGGUGUAGCGGUGAAAUGCGUAGAUAUUAGGAAGAACACCGAUGGCGAAGGCGGCUUACUGGACUGUAACUGACGUUGAGGCUCGAAAGCGUGGGGAGCAAACAGGAUUAGAUACCCUAGUAGUC
rnacentral:rRNA from 1 species